CCAAGGCUCACUCUACACGGGAUAUGGCGGCCUUCAAGGCGUUUCUAGCAGGUGUGUCCAUGCUGGACAUCUGCAGUGCUGCGGGGUGGUCCACGCCUUCUACUUUUGCAAGAUUCUAUGGCUUAGACAUGCCAGUCACUCCAGGCACUUCAGUCCUCUCGUCCUAAGCUGUGCUCUUCGGAUACACACUAGGCAGGGGUUUGGUAGUCUGGCAGCGUUGGUACUCGUUCCCCAAAGUCGUUUUCGACGCAGUGUCUCGUUCCCUCGAGGAACUAGGGUUACAUACGUAACCUAGAGACGAUUUUCAGUGAACAACAA